AAAAUGUAGCAUAUCCAGGAGCUUAUUCGUUAUCUGCAAUUUGGACUCUGAUGGCUGGCUCUUGGUGUAGCAUCAUCUAUUGGUCUUGGUAAGUGCGAGUUAUAUUCAAAAUAGCAUGAAAACUCACAACCUGGAUACUGGAAAUCAUUAUACAAUCCAUACUUGAGGGCAAGUUCUCUUUUCUUUUUUGUUUAGUGUGGAUUCUCUCUCUUUUGGAGUUUCCUUUAUUGAUUUUAUAAUUAAUCAAAAUGUAGCAUAUCCAGGAGCUUAUUCGUUAUCUGUAAUUUGGACUCUGAUGGCUGGCUCUUGGUGUAGCAUCAUCUAUUGGUCUUGGUAAGUGCGAGUUAUAUUCAAAAUAGCAUGAAAACUCACAACCUGGAUACUGGAAAUCAUUAUACAAUCCAUACUUGAGGGCAAGUUCUCUUUUCUUUUUUGUUUAGUGUGGAUUCUCUCUCUUUUGGAGUUUCCUUUAUUGAUUUUAUAAUUAAUCAAAAUGUAGCAUAUCCAGGAGCUUAUUCGUUAUCUGCAAUUUGGACUCUGAUGGCUGGCUCUUGGUGUAGCAUCAUCUAUUGGUCUUGGUAAGUGCGAGUUAUAUUCAAAAUAGCAUGAAAACUCACAACCUGGACACUGGAAAUCAUUAUACAAUCCAUACUUGAGGGCAAGUUCUCUUUUCUUUUUUGUUUAGUGUGGAUUCUCUCUCUUUUUUUUUUGUAAUUUCUGGUGCUUUCAGUAACUUCAAUGAUAAUUAGUUUUUUUUUUUCCUUUUUG
rnacentral:lncRNA from 1 species